CAGCAGUAUAUCAACCCCGGUUCUUUAUUCACUCAUUGCCAAAUCAUUGUUUUAGUCAUUUUGGAUCACUGCAUACCUGCCUGUUUUCCUGCUUAUCUCUCUGCCUGCUGACCAGUCAUCCAGUCAACCAUCCCUGUCUUCAUCACUGCUUCACCGGCCACCAGCUUCCCUCUGCCCCUCUGCCUUUGCCUGCUGACAUCCUCAUCUCUAUCUGCCUUCACUCCCUGAGAGCCCAGUCAAUAAACCUUUUCUUAUCCAUUCCAA